rnacentral:rRNA from 1 species
CCUACGGGAGGCAGCAGUGGGGAAUGUUGCGCAAUGAUCGUAAGAGUGACGCAGCGACGCCGCGUGAAUGACGAAGGCCUUCGGGUCGUAAAGUUCUUUCGACAGGGAAGAAAAUGCCUAUAAGUAACUGUGUAUGUAUUGACGGUACCUGUAUAAGCAGCCCCGGCUAACUCCGUGCCAGCAGCCGCGGUAAUACGGAGGGGGCGAGCGUUGUUCGGAGUGACUGGGCGUAAAGAGCACGUAGGCGGUGUUGUAAGUCAUUAGUCAAAGACUAGAGCUCAACUUUAGUAAGGCUAGUGAUACUAUAAUACUGGAGUAUCAGAGAGGAUUGCAGAAUUCCUGGUGUAGCGGUGAAAUGCGUAGAUAUCAGGAGGAAUACCGUUAGCGAAGGCGGCAAUCUGGCUGGAAACUGACGCUGAGGUGCGAAAGCGUGGGUAGCAAACAGGAUUAGAUACCCCUGUAGUC